AUUGAACGCUGGCGGCAGGCCUAACACAUGCAAGUCGAGCGGAAACAGAGAGGUGCUUGCACCUUUGCUGUCGAGCGGCGGACGGGUGAGUAAUGCCUAGAUAUCUGCCUAGUCGUGGGGGAUAACAGUUGGAAACGACUGCUAAUACCGCAUACGCCCUACGGGGGAAAGGAGGGGACCUUCGGGCCUUUCGCGAUUAGAUGAGUCUAGGUGGGAUUAGCUAGUAGGUAAGGUAAUGGCUUACCUAGGCGACGAUCCCUAGCUGUUCUGAGAGGAUGAUCAGCCACACUGGGACUGAGACACGGCCCAG
rnacentral:rRNA from 1 species